rnacentral:rRNA from 1 species
UACGUAGGGUGCGAGCGUUGUCCGGAAUUAUUGGGCGUAAAGAGCUCGUAGGCGGUUUGUCGCGUCGAAUGUGAAAUCCCGGGGCUCAACUCCGGGCCUGCAUUCGAUACGGGCAGACUAGAGUUCGGUAGGGGAGUCUGGAAUUCCUGGUGUAGCGGUGAAAUGCGCAGAUAUCAGGAGGAACACCGGUGGCGAAGGCGGGUCUCUGGGCAGUAACUGACGCUGAGGAGCGAAAGCGUGGGGAGCGAACAGG